UCUCUUUAAACCUAUAAUGGCUCCCUCUAUUAAGUUAUCUCUUUUCUUGCUCUCCUCUGUUCUUGCCCCAAUUCAGUCUUCCUGCUCCCUCAUGUCCUCCUCUCCCCUCCUCUUCUCCUCUUCUCCCUUUCUCUUUCUCCUAACUCUCUCUCCCCUCCCCCAUGCUCCCAAUUAUCUCAGGAGAUCUUGUCCUUUUCUCCUUCUCUGGGGGACCAUGUAUGUCUUUCUUAGGGUCUUCCUUGUUUCCUAGCUUCUCUGGUGGUGUUUGUAAUAGCCAGAACCUGGAAGCAACCUAGAUGCCUCUCAACUGAAGAAUGGAUGGAGAAAAUGUGGUACAUUAACACAAUGGAAUACUACUCAGCGGGAAAAAAUGGAAUCUUGGAAUUCACAGUCAAGUGGAUGGAACUAGAAGAAACCAUCCUGAGUGAGGUAACCCAGUCACAAAAAGACAAACAUGAUUCUGUGUGUUAUUUACAGCAACAGACUCAUACUCGUGCACACUCUAACCUGAUUGGCUUUAUUGCAGAAGGAAAUAAGCCAUCAAGAACGAAAGUGGGGAGUGGGAAGAAAGUGGGAGGCACCAGAAAGACAGCAAACCUCCAGCCAAAAGGCAAAAAGAGAUAUGGGCCAUGUCAUCAGAUGUCAAGUCUGCCCACCUGGGCCCUAUGCUCCAAGGGAAAAGUUAUUCUAUGAAAUGCACAGAGCCCUACAUUCAAGAAUUCCGAAAAAAGACAUAUUUAGCAGUGAAAAGAUCUGUCUUGUUUCUCUGUGUAUGAAAUGAUGUCUAUUACCAAAUGGGAGUCACUAAAAACCUGAUUAAUCUAUUUCUCUUCGCUUCUAGUUAAGUCAGCAUGCCAAAAAGGAUGGAAGGGAUUGCAUUACAGUGAUUAACACUAUCAUUAAAUAUUGCAAUGAUCACAAACUGGCACUUUCUACUAUACUUGCAUUGAAUUUUAUUUGGCUGAGACAGAAAUGUGUAUGUGUUUGGGGAAUGACUAGAAUACUUUAAAAGUAACCAAAUAUAUGUGAUUAAUUCCAGUUUCAGUUCUAGAUGAUGUUUCUUCAUUAAAACAAAUAAACACAGCUUUUCAAAGUUAAUAUAUAGUCAUAUAUGUAGAGACCAUUUUUCUCUUUACUCCAUUUCUAUCUUCAAAGAAAAUCAGAAGUGGUUUAUAUUCACUUAUUGGUUUCUUAUGCUAAAGCUUCAUAAUCUCUCCUUUCCUCGAAACAUUGAUCAGAAAUGACUUAGAUUGUGUUGAUUGGCCUCAUAAAACAUGCUUGUUCAUUACAUUUUAUGGCAUGCUAAGUUAUCCUGGUGAGCAGAAAAUAGCAAGCAUUUUUAAUGCUUUGUCAAGAUAAUGUACUUAACCACAGGGUCUGAUCAACUGUUGAUGUUUUCUGAGAUUCCAGUUGUCUGGGAUUCAAUAUGACAUUUCUUAAAUGGGGAACAAUCAUUAAACUGUCUACCAUGAAGAAG
rnacentral:lncRNA from 1 species